rnacentral:tRNA from 1 species
GGGUAAUGAUCUUGAAUAAGUAUAUAUUUUGAAAAUAUAAGAUAGAAAUUUUAAUUCUAUUAUCUA